GCCGAGGGUGGCCGCGGGACCGGGUUUGGGGCAGUUGGGCUGGGUUGGAUAGUGACCCCCUUUGCCUUCUGCCGGGGAGCGGCUGCGGACAAUGGAGAAGAGUCAACAGAACAGGGGGCCACGGCAAUGCCAUGGGAAGGAGCCACUGUACUCACCAGCCAAGACCUUCAGCUUGUUAGCAGAGUCCUCUGCCCUUCAAAUGAUCUUGCAGUAGGUGUGAUACAAUCACCACUGCAGACAACAUCUGGGUACUUCAUGGCUUUAGACAGCAGAACCAACAGAAUCACUACUUGACGAACAUGAAUUAAACUCUACAGUACCCCUUCAAAGCACAGUGAUAGAAAAGACAUCUUUGGGUGCCCCCAGUAAGGACUCUGAGGCUUCUGGCCCUACGAAAAGGCUCUGUUGGGUCAGACAAUAGAAUGGAAUUUCAGGAGUUAAUGUCCAGCCUGGUUGGAGAGGCCAAGCAGAGUCUACUUCCAGCCAGAGGUAAAUUAGGUGGAUCUCAGCCUAUUUAGGCCAGGUCUGUAUUACAGACUUUGGUAGACAUAGCUAUGUUGGUCAAGGGUGUGAUGAGGUAUAAUUCAUGAUGGAGAUAGCUGUGCCGACAAAAGCUCCUAAUGUACUAACUUAUAUCACUUUAUGAGGAUGGAAUAAGCUGUGCCAGCAAAAAUGCAGUUUUGCCUGUAUAAGCUGUGUCCACACUAGGAGUGCUUUGCCGGUAUAGUAUACCUGUAUAGCUAUACCAACAAAGCCUUCCAAGUGUAGGCCUGACUUUAGCCUCAAUCUCUUCAGAGAAGAGUGUGUUGCUUUCAGGAGAGAGACAAAGGUUGUGCUGGCUAAAAUUCCAAGACCGAGAGUUCUGGGGAAAAACAGAAACUACUUUACUUCUUUCUAUAUUUUUGAGCUUACUACUUUUUACACUGUAUGGAAGAAAUAGAGCUAGAGAUUUUUGCCAAAUUGGUGUCAGUUUGGGUUUAAACCAAAACCUUGGCAAUAAAACUCCAGCCUACAGAUGGCUCACCUGAGCCUCUAGUGAAUUUCUCUCUUCAGCCCUGCUACAGCCCUACUACAAGUCUCAUUAGGCCAUACUCAAUCUUCAGUGUUUAAACUACACUACUGUGCCUCAGCUAGUCCCCAAUUAAUUGCUGUCAAAGGUGGAAGAUUUGGUGGUAGCUGCACGAGUCAUAAGGGACAGUGCUAUGUUUACAGACCAUGCCCACUCAGCACAGCCUCUUCCAGAGACUAGUUUCAAGUAUAUUGACAUGGAGGAAAUGUAGGUAACCACGGGCAGAACCUGUAUGAUGUGGGGGAGGUGAACGUGUGGUACAGCUAUGCUUCUGCAGGGUGUAGUUGAGCUUCUGCUACAAUAAACUGAGCCGUAACCAAA